AGGCCCCUUCGGGGGUACACGAGUGGCGAACGGGUGAGUAACACGUGAGCAACCUGCCCUUGACUCUGGGAUAACAGUUGGAAACAGCUGCUAAUACCGGGUACGACCUUCGAUGACAUCAUCUGGAGGUGGAAAGCGCUUUAGCGGUCAAGGAUGGGCUCGCGGCCUAUCAGCUUGUUGGUGAGGUAACGGCUCACCAAGGCUUCGACGGGUAGCCGGCCUGAGAGGGCGACCGGCCACACUGGGACUGAGAUACGGCCCAGACUCCUACGGGAGGCAGCAGUGGGGAAUAUUGCACAAUGGGCGCAAGCCUGAUGCAGCAACGCCGCGUGCGGGAUGACGGCCUUCGGG
rnacentral:rRNA from 1 species